GCGUUAUAUGUCAAAAGGAGAUCUAUAAGUGUAAUGUUGAAAUUGUUUUCAGAGGAAUUUUAGUUAAUACUUUGCUUGGCUAGCAAGAGGACAUGCUAGUAAAUUUUAGAUGGUAAUCUCUCAUUUUGGCAUGCAAUUUGCAAUGAAGUGGAUGUUGUAGUAACAUCCAUUCAUUGCAACUGUGGAACAUGUAUGUCCAUGCUGAUUUGUGUGGAGCUUCUUGUACUGUGAUCAAGAACCAUAGGCCUGAACAACUUGUACCUCCUCUCACUUUAAACCAAGCCGGAUGCUUUGCUGUUUGCCACAGCCAGGCAUGGGAU
rnacentral:misc_RNA from 1 species